rnacentral:tRNA from 1 species
GUGGAUAUAGCUCAGUGGUAGAGUGCAUACUUAGCAUGGACAAGGUCCUGGGUUCAAUCCCCAGUACCUCCA